CACGUAGGGUGCGAGCGUUGUCCGGAAUUAUUGGGCGUAAAGAGCUCGUAGGCGGUGUGUCGCGUCGGCCGUGAAAACCUGCAGCUUAACUGUGGGCGUGCGGUCGAUACGGGCAUCACUGGAGUUCGGCAGGGGAGACUGGAAUUCCUGGUGUAGCGGUGAAAUGCGCAGAUAUCAGGAGGAACACCGGUGGCGAAGGCGGGUCUCUGGGCCGAUACUGACGCUGAGGCGCGAAAGCUAGGGUAGCAAACGGG
rnacentral:rRNA from 1 species